GUGCCAGCCGCCGCGGUAAUACGUAGGUGGCAAGCGUUAUCCGGAAUUAUUGGGCGCAAAGCGCGCGUAGGCGGUUUUUUAAGUCUGAUGUGAAAGCCCACGGCUCAACUGUGGAGGGUCAUUGGAGACUGGAAAACUUGAGUGCAGAAGAGGAAAGUGGAAUUCCAUGUGUAGCGGUGAAAUGCGCAGAGAUAUGGAGGAACACCAGUGGCGAAGGCGACUUCCUGGUCUGUAACUGACGCUGAUGUGCGAAAGCGUGGGGAUCAAACAGGAUUAG
rnacentral:rRNA from 1 species